rnacentral:rRNA from 1 species
UCGGGAAUUUUGCCCAAUGAGCGAAAGCUUGAGGCAGCAACUCCGCGUGAGGGAUGAAGGCUCUCGGGUCGUAAACCUCUUUUCUCAGGGAAGAUCCAAGACGGUACCUGAGGAAUAAGCCACGGCUAACUACGUGCCAGCAGCCGCGGUAAUACGUAGGUGGCAAGCGUUGUCCGGAUUUACUGGGCGUAAAGAGCGCGCAGGCGGCUGGUCAAGUCCGAUGUGAAAGCUCCCGGCUUAACUGGGAAAC